ACUCCUACGGGAGGCAGCAGUGGGGAAUAUUGGACAAUGGGGGCAACCCUGAUCCAGCAAUGCCGCGUGUGUGAAGAAGGCCUGAGGGUUGUAAAGCACUUUAGGCGAGGAGGAUGGUAGACUAGGUUAAGAGCUAGGUUUAUUGACGUUACUCGCAGAAUAAGCACCGGCUAACUCCGUGCCAGCAGCCGCGGUAAUAC
rnacentral:rRNA from 1 species